GUGCUUGCUUCGGCAGCACAUAUACUAAAAUUGGAACAGUACAGAGAAGGAUAGCAUGGCCCUGGGUAAGGAUGACAUGCAAAUACUUGUGAAGUGUUCCAUAUUAAA